rnacentral:rRNA from 1 species
AACGAACGCUGGCGGCAGGCCUAACACAUGCAAGUCGAGCGCUCUCUUCGGAGGGAGCGGCGGACGGGUUAGUAACGCGUGGGAAUGUACCCUUCUCUAAGGAAUAGCCAUUGGAAACGAUGAGUAAUACCUUAUACGACCCCCGGGUCAAACUCGGGGGGGAAAGAGUUCAUCGGAGAGGGAUCAGCCCGCGUAAGAUUAGAUAGUUGGUGGGGUAAUGGCCUACCAAGUCUACGAUCUUUAGCUGGUUUUAGAGGACGAUCAGCAACACUGGGACUGAGACACGGCCCAGACUCCUACGGGAGGCAGCAGUGGGGGAAUCUUGGACAAUGGGCGCAAGCCUGAUCCAGCCAUGCCGCGUGAGUGAUGAAGGCCUUAGGGUCGUAAAGCUCUUUCGCCAGAGAUGAUAAUGACAGUAUCUGGUAAAGAAGUCCCGGCUAACUCCGUG